rnacentral:tRNA from 1 species
GGGCGUAUCGUCUAACGGCCAGGAUCUCUGAUUCUCAAUCAGAAGGUCGGGGUUCGAUUCCCCGUACGCUCACCA